AACCAUUUUAACCUUCUCAAACAGGUUAUUAUUAUUAUUAUUAUUAUUAUUAUUAUUAUUAUUAUUAUUAUUAUAUAUACACGAGAAAAAGCAGAGGGAGGAUAGCUUUAAAAUAUAGAAACAAUACAAAUUUCAAGCAAAAAACUUUAUCCCUUGUCCCCUCUCUAUCUUAAAAGAGGGAAUCCCAAAUCACCGUUCAUUUCUGAUUUUUCCUCACAUUUUACUAAUUCAUGUGGAAAAAAACAAUCCCCUCUAUUACACUACCUAUUUGGGCUUUACAUGGCACUGAUUUAUGGAAAAAUUCAAACGACCCGUGCCGUUGACACUCUGAGUGACCGCAGUCUUACAUGGCCGACGUGGAUCCCCAUGAAUAAAAUAAUCCCGACCCCAUGUGUGUGUGUGUUAUGUCAACCAUGCGAUCAUCCGUACGGGCUAUGUAGCUCGAUCCCCGAUUUAUCCUUCACUUAGAAGUGGCAAUUCAUAAUUACAGUCCAUUUUUGUUCAGGAGUAUUCACACUUGACUGGUUUCUAAUUGGUUCUACACUGUAGCCUGUAGCAAAAUUGGUUCUCUGCUGUUCAAUUCAAAUGAACUUUAAUGUUCUCUACUGUUCAUCCACAAAAGCAAAUUAGCGUAGUCGCUUUACAAUUCACUGUCCAUUUACAGUAGCUACUCAAAAUAUCUCUUUCCUAUCAAGUGCAUUUUGCUUUCUCCCACUUCUUACUUCCUGCUCUGCUAUUGGAAGAUGUUCAUUUUUGGAGUUGCUGUUUCUACUUUUGGGGACGAUGACGAAGACUCUAGGUAUCUCUCAUUCAUCUGUGGCGCUACUUCUUUUGCCGCUGCAUCAGCUGCUCCGUCCGUCGCUAAUCUGAGGUGAGAAUAGUUUUUGUUUAAAUUUCAUGAUUUUCUCAUUCAUCUGUGGCGCUACUUCUUUUGCCGCCGCAUCAGCUGCUCCGUUCGUCACUAAUCUGAGGUAAGAAUAGUUUUUGUUUAAAUUUCAUGAUUUUUUACUCCUUUCAAUCAAUUUCCAGGGAUUUUGGUGUUGUUUGUUGAGAAAAAUGUAGAAAAAUCUGAAAACUUAAUGAACUUCUAGGCACGAAAAACGUUAUCUUUUAAAAGAUGUUUUUCCCCUAUCCAACAAAGUCACAACUGGGGUAUGAUAGAAAAUCUCUCUCAGAAUACAAUGAAGGCGUUUGAUUCAAAUUGUAACUAUUUGAUCAAACCAAGAAGACACUUGAAAAGAACUGAUGAUGCCAAGAGAAAGAGAGAAGAAUAAUUUUUUAAUGUGUUUUGCAAACGAAAAUUCGCCCAGGUCGAUCCCCGUUGCGCAGUGGUAAAAACUAGUCGGGGCGGCAAAUCAUUCGCAAAACAAAAAAUAAAUACAUGCAAAAUGAUGAAAAAUAUCUAACAUAUCCCCCCUAUUUUUCAAAAUUUUGAUUUAGAAAAGAUGAAGCGACUGCAUCACAAAAAUUGAUUGCCUACGUACCCUUAACAGGUUCAAGCCACCGUAAUUCAUGCAAACACACACAAAAGGCAUCGUCGUAGGAAAUCGUACAUAAAUGAAAGUAGCUUUUGACUUUGAACUUUCACUUAGUGUAAACAACUCAAAGUUUUGUCAAGGUGCUAUGGUGAACGAAUCUUGAACCAAGGACCCUAUCAUGACUAGCCGGAGUCAUUACACAUACUAUUCCUAUAAAAAGGAGUGUUUAUUUUAUACCAACGCAUUAAUGGCUUUGCGUAUAUCCCGAAUUUCAUGAGUGCUUUAGAGGCGGUCUAAAUCUCAUAGAAAACGGCCUGACUUUCUCACUCACAUAGGUAAGUUCUUUAUAAAGUAAUUCUGCUAGUUACUUUCUCUCUCAAAAGAACUUAUUAAGAAAUUAAAUCCAUCCUCAACCAUGCAGAAUACAUACACUAGAGAUUUUAUGAAUGGGUUUGAACUAAUACUCUAGUGUCUCGUCUAAGUUAGAUUUUAACUUGUUUGUACCCUUUGAACUUUGUUUAUAUUUCAAAACAUAAGUAGGGUUCCCAUUAAAGCUAACUCAAGUUACGUAGACCUCAAUCCCAUUCCUUUCGAUGUUUUCGCAAUCAUCUCUCUAGCCAAUCCUUUUGUCAAAUGAUCUGUUAGGUUAUUCUUCGACUCUACAUAUUCAACGGUGAUUACUCCUUGCUUAAGUAAUCCUGGAAGAGACUGAUGUCUAAUACUGAGAUGUCGUUGCUUAUCAUUGUAAGUCUUGUUUGCUACCAAAUACAAAAUAGCUUUACUAUCACAAUAGAUCAUCACAGCUGGAGAUGAUUUCUUCCGCAAUGGGAUAUCUAUUAGCAAAUUUCUUAGCCAUUCAACUUCUUUACUUGCAUCAGCUAAAGCAAUAAAUUCUGCCAACAUAGUUGAAUCUGAGACGCAUGUUUGUUUCUCAGAACACCAAGAAACAGUUGCACCUCCUAAAGUAAAAAUCCAACCUGUUGUGGAUUUAAAAUUGGAUUCUAUGUUGUUCCAACUUGCAUCGCUGUAUCCUUCAAGUACAGCGGGAAAUCCACGAUAAUGUAAUCUAUAAUCAAUAGUUCCUUUCAAGUAUCUUAAGAUUCUUGAAACCGCAUUCCAAUGUUCUUUUCCUGGAUUACUAGUGAAUCGACACAAUAUGCCAACUGCAUAUGCAAUAUCUGGUCUUGUGCAAUGCAUAGCAUACAUAAGACUUCCAAUCACACUUGCAUAUUGUAGUUGGUCAUAAGAUCUACCUGUAUUUUUCAUUAACUUAAUACUAGGAUUUAUCGAAGUUGAUGCGGGUUUAUGACCUAUAUGACCAUAUAUUUUAAGGAUAUUUUCAAUAUAAUGAGAUUGAUUCAGCAAUAUGCAUCCAUCUUUUCUUAUUAUUUUAAUCCCUAAGAUCACAUUUGCUUCGCCUAAAUCCUUCAUGUCGAAGUUAGGCUCUAACAAUUGUUUGGUCUCCUUAACACUUUCUAAGUUAGGAUAAAAAAUAAGCAUGUCAUCUACAUACAAGCAAAUAAGAGUACAUGCACCAUUUCUACAUGUAGAAUAGAUACAUUUAUCUGCUUCAUUAACCUUGAAACCGUUAGACAACAUUACUUUAUUAAACUUUUCAUGCCAUUGCAUAGGGGCUUGUUUUAAACCAUAAAGAGACUUGACUAGUUUACAAACCUUCUUUUCUUGUACAGGUAAAACAAAACCCUCGGGUUGCUCCAUAUAGACUUCUUCCUCCAAAUCACCAUUUAGAAAAGUCUUUUUUACAUCUAUUUGAUGGACAACUAAAUUGUGAGUUGAAGCAAGAGAUAGCAACACGCGGAUGGAAGAUAUCCUUGCUACGGGAGCAUAAGUAUCAAAAUAAUCUAUGCCAUGACGUUGUUUAAAACCUUUAGCUACUAAUCGAGCUUUAUACUUAUUUAUAGAGCCAUCUGCAUUUAAUUUCCUCUUGAAAAUUCAUUUACAAUGUAUUAGUUUAGAACCACGAGGUAAAUCAACCAGUUUCCAUGUUUGAUUUGACAUAAUGGAUCUCAUUUCAUCAUUGAUUGCUUCUUUCCAAAGUACAGCAUCUCGAGAGGAAAUAGCUUCUGAAUAUGUGACAGGAUCAUUAUCAUCAUUGAGCAUUAGCUUAGUCUGAUGUGUAAUAUUAUUUACAUUACCUUUUAGCAAAUAAGUCACAAAUUCAGAUCCGAAAGAUUUUUCUUUCCUUUGUCUCUUACUUCUUCUAGGUUCUAUUUCCGAUUGUGGUUCAACAGAAGUAUCAUCAAGAGAUUCUUCAUGAACUCUCUUAGAAGAACUAGAAGUAGUAUUAUCUUCAGUUUGUAUAGUUGAAGACUUGUAUAUAUUUUCAAAAAAUUCAGCAUCAAUUGAUUCGAUAACAUCAUUGGAUUCUAACUUCAGAAACCUAUAAGCAGUACUGUUUUUGCAUAACCUAUGAAUACACAUUUAUAAGUUUUACUUCCUAAUUUAGUGAUCUCUGGAUUUGGUUUUCUCACAUAGGCGAGACAUCCCCACACCUUGAGACGACUAAUAUUAGGUUUCCAGUUGAACCACAACUCAUAUGGAGUUUUGUUAAUCUUCUUCAUAGGAAUCCUAUUUAGAGUAUAACAUGCACUUAAGAUUGCUUCACCCCACCAUUGAUCAGGUAAACCAGAACUAAUAAGCAUGCAAUUCACCAUUUCAACUAAAGUCCUGUUUUUCCUUUCUGCUACUCCGUUUGAUUCUGGCGAAUAUGGUGGAGUAAACUCGUGAACUAUACCAUUAGUUUCACAGAAUUUUGCUAAUUCUACUACUUGAUAUCACCCCCUCUAUCAGAACGUAAGACUUUAAUUUUUUGGUUUAAUUGAUUUUCCACUACUACUUUAUAAAUAAGAAAUUUGCUUAAAACUUCAUCUUUACUUUUUAGUAAGUAUACAUAAGCAUAUUUCAAAAAAUCAUCUAUAAAGGUCACAAAGUACUUGUUCCCUCCACGUGAAACUUUACUAUGCAGAUCAGCCACAUCAGAAUGUAUAAGACCAAGUAAUUCAGAUGUUUGCAUAACAGAUUUAUGUGGUUUACACGUUAUUUUAUCAUUAUUUUACCUUGAACACAUAUGUCACAUUUUUUAAUAUCAUCAAACUUACAUUUAGGAAUAAUUCCUAAAUUAUGCAUGUUCUUAAUGGAUUUAUAAUUUAUGUGGCCUAAUUUAGCAUGUCAUAAAGGUAAAGAAUCAACAAUAUAAGCAAAGUUAUCAUUUAUUAAAUUCAUUUUGAACAUACCAUUACAUGAGUAACCUUUUCCAACAAAUACAUUAUUCUUAGAUACUAUAAGGCUAUCAGACUCAAUUACAAGCUUAAAACCUGCCUUGUUAAGGCGAUCCCCAGAAAUCAGGUUCUUGGUCAUUUCAGGCACAUGGAGAACUUCUGCCAAAGUCAGAUUCUUUCCUGAAGUGAAUUUCAGUUCAACUGAUCCAAUUCCAACAACUUUGGUACGAACAUUGUUACCUAUUUUUACUUCUCUUCCAUCAGUGCAUUCUUUGUAAGUCUUGAACUGAGAUUUGUCAUUACUUACAUGAAUUGUAGCUCCGGUAUCCAACCACCAUCCUACUUCAAAUCCGACUGAGUUGGCUUCUUCCACCACAGCAAGAAGGUUUGGAUCAUGAUUUUCAUCAGUCACAUUUACUUGAUCCUUCUUUGUCUUUUCGUUCUUUGGCUUCUCGUAUUUUAUUCGAUGUCGGCAUUCACGAGCAAUAUGACCAGAUUUCUUGCAGUAGAAACAAUCCCCCUUGAAUUUUUUCUUAGAGGUUUCUGCAUAAUCUUCCUUAGAACUGGAGUUUUUACGCUUCUUGUUACCCUUAUGAUUUCCUUGAACCAUGUUUGCCUUUUCUGCCGCUUGAUCAUAAUUCUCUCAUUUAUGAGAGUCUUCCUCAAUACGCAAAUGACGCAUGAGGGAUUCCAGAGUAUGCUUGGUUUCAUCAUGUUUGAGUUUCUUUUUAUAGUCAUUCCAUGAACUUGGUAAUUUUGCAAUAAUGACUCCAACUUGAAAUGCAUCAGGCAAGACAAUUUCAGCAUUCUUAAGAUUACUAAUAGUAAGUUGUAAUUCAUGUACCUGGGCAAGAAUAGACUUAUUUUUCGUCAUCUUGAAAUCAAAAUAAUUACCGAUCAAGAAUUUCUGGUUGCUUGCCUCUUCAAUACGAUACUUGUUGUCCAAUGCCAAUCACAAUUUUCUUGCUGUUCCGAUAGUCCUGUGUGCGCUGUAAACAGAAUCUGAUAGUGCAUUCAGAAUAUGGCCUCUGCACAGAAAAUCAUCAUCCUUCCGUUUCUUCCGCUGUUCCUGUAAUUCCUUCUUGCGUUCAUCUGAAUCAUCUGCUUUUUCUUCUGGAAUAUGCGCAGACCAUUACUCAGAAUGUAGGACAGUUUGAUAGCUGUCAAGAAGAAUAAAACCUUUUCCUGCCAACGCGUGAAGUUAUGUCCAUCAAAUCGAUCAAGACGAAUCAAAUCUUGAUUCAUGACUUAAAUUGAGGGUGCCACAGAUUCAUUUAAUGUCAGAUCUUGAAACGAAGACAUCUCUUAAAACUGUUGAGAAAAAUGUAGGGAAAUUUGAAAACUUAAUGAAUUCCAAGGCACGAAAAACGUUAUCUUUUAAGAGAUGUUUCUCCCCUAUCCAACAAAGUCACAACUGGGAUAUGAUAGAAGAUCUCUUUCAAGAUACAAUGGAGGCGUUUGAUUCAAAUUGUGACUAUUUGAUCAAAUCAAGAAGACACUCGAAAAGAACUGAUGAUGCUAAGAGAAAGAGAGGAGAAUAAUUUUUUAAUGUGUUUUGUAAACGAGAAUUCGUCCAGGUCGAUCCCCGUUGCGCAGCGGCAAACACUAGUCGGGGCGGCAAAUCAUUCGCAAAACAAAAAGUAAAUACAUGAAAAAUGAUGAAAAAUAUCUAACAUUGUUGACUGUCGUUGUGAUUCGUCCAACGCUGGGUUUCCAUUGUUCAUUUGUGGUGCUACUUCUUUUGCCGAUAAAACCAUUAUUAAGCGAAAGAUUGAGCAUGGUUUUACUAUCACAGAGUGACAAACGAAGAUGAGAACUAGUUUUAGAAUCUCAUAACUCUGCGAUCAAAUUUCUGUAACUUAAGUAUCUUUGGCAUGAAUUUUUCGUACAAUUCCCAAUUUCUGAUAUGUUUAUUGUUGCUUCUUCAUGGUUCUUGAGGUAAGAAAUUGCACUUUGUUCUUCUUCAGGUAAGAAAUUGUACUUUGAUGAGUAUCACUAAUUACAUUAUGUUGCCGAAUGAGGCAAGAAAGAUUGAAGAAAAGUCAGAAGGUGUUUAUGAGGUUUUAGCAUUGGUAGACGAGCAGAAACUUGAAGAGAAAAGAAAUGAUGAAAAAGAGAAAUUCUUGUAGCUUUCAAAAAUAUUUGAGGAACAGGUUUUUGGCCUGAGGUUUAGUGUUUAUUUUCGUUUCAUACUUAAAAAGGAAAUAAAGUUAUCCUUUGACUAUUUGAUGUAAUAUAUGAC
rnacentral:lncRNA from 1 species